rnacentral:rRNA from 1 species
CGCCUGGGGAGUACGGCCGCAAGGUUAAAACUCAAAUGAAUUGACGGGGGCCCGCACAAGCGGUGGAGCAUGUGGUUUAAUUCGACGCAACGCGAAGAACCUUACCUGGCCUUGACAUGCAGAGAACUUUCCAGAGAUGGAUUGGUGCCUUCGGGAACUCUGACACAGGUGCUGCAUGGCCGUCGUCAGCUCGUGUCGUGAGAUGUUGGGUUAAGUCCCGUAACGAGCGCAACCCCUAUCCCUAGUUGCUAGCAGUUCGGCUGAGAACUCUAGGGAGACUACCGGUGACAAACCGGAGGAAGGUGGGGAUGACGUCAGGUCAUCAUGGCCCUUACGGCCAGGGCUACACACGUGCUACAAUGGUGCGCACAGAGGGCUGCAAACCCGCGAGGGGGAGCCAAUCUCACAAAACGCAUCGUAGUCCGGAUCGCAGUCUGCAACUCGACUGCGUGAAGUCGGAAUCGCUAGUAAUUGUGAAUCAGAAUGUCACGGUGAAUACGUUCCCGGGCCUUGUACACACCGCCCGUCACACCAUGGGAGUGGAUUGCACCAGAAGUGGUUAGUCUAACCUUCGGGAGGACGAUCACCACGGUGUGGUUCAUGACUGGGGUGAAGUCGUAACAAGGUAACCGUA